AGUCGAACCUCGUGAGUGGCGUGCGCGCGUCAACACACCUUCUCGGAUACACGGGCCUAUAGAAACGCAGGCAUGCACACGCCGUAUCUCCUUCACACCUCUAUCCCCUUACGCCCUUUGUUGUCGCUUGCCUUCUCCUCCCCCCUUUCCUGUGGGCGACCCGCGCAAGCUCACGCGUGUCGGCGUUUGUGGCAGCGGAGCAAUGACACAAACGUCGUCCUCGGAGGCGGUCUCCGUCGGGCGGCGGAGCACCGCCAUCGGGAAGGAGUCGUCUCUCGCUGCCCCCUCACUGAGUACAGCGGCGACGCCCUUUUCGCUUCGCACCGGCGCCGCGCUUCCUCGCGAGAUCCUGGCAUGGUUGCAGUCGCUGCAACUUGGCGGCUCCGUCAAGUACCCGAAGCGGGACUUGGCCAACGGAUAUGUGAUUGCGCACAUAUGUGCUCGCUACUGGUCGCAUGUGCCACUGCACAGCUUCGAGAACAAGGCCAGCGCUGCGAACAAGCAGAGCAACUGGUUUGUUCUGCGCAAGGUGCUGCGCCAGAAGGGGGUGGAUGUAAGCGCAGCAAUGGUGGACGGCAUGAUGAACGGCGCUGACGACUGCGCCAGCGCCUUCCUGCAGCAACUGUACACGGUGCUGACUGGCAAGCAUGCGGACACCGAGGCGGUGCCGCUGGAAGAUGCGCUGCCAGACGUGCCGGCCAGCAAAGUGCCGGUGUACGUGCCGACCAACACCGGUGGCGCCGCUGCACGCACGCGGCACGUUGGUGGCACAAAUGGUCCUGGUCUCUCCGCGAAAGUGGACUCCCGCAGCGACUUCGCGGGCGGAGGCAACAAGGCCGCGUCGUUGUUUGGCGCUGCGGCGGCUGAUGUCAGCAUCCUGGACGGCACCAGCGGCAAAGACGUGCGGAACGCCCCCCCGGUGCUGCUGCCGCCUCUGCAGUCAUCACUCCCGGUGCCGACGCAUACGCAGCCCGCUGCAUCGCCGUCAUCCGGCUUGACAGAGGAAGCAGCAGCCGCAAGCAAGCCGCUCCUCAACGUGGCUGUGCGAGCUGCAGGGGAGGUGUCGACAGUGCUUUCGGCGCAGCAGGCAUCUGCGUCGGCCGCUGACGACGCCACUGGCGCACCUAUGCCGGCGCAGGUCUCCUCACUGGCUGGUUCGUGGUUCUGCAUGAAGGUGCGCGAGGCGGUGCCGGUGGACGCCCUCGAAGCGCUGAUGGAGGGCGACGAAGCGGCCUCGGCGCCGAGGCCGUCGCUGUCUGCCACGCUUCGCUGGCUCUCUGCUUUUCCAUCUGGUGAUGGAGAUGUGGAGGGCGAGAUGAAAGCAGCGCUCUGGAGCACAGACGGAGACGGCCAUAACGUUCAGCAGGCAUUGCUUCGCACGGGUGCCUGGCAGGCGAUCCUCGGCGCUGUGCCGGAGCUAGCGCAGAUAAUUGUGCACCACGGCGGCCACGGCCUCGAUGCCCUUGUGGACUGCCUGUUUGCCUCCGUCAUGAGUGUGCAGUCGCGGAUUGGUGGCGGUGGUGAGGGUGACGCUGGCGGCGGCGCGCCGUUCGCCUUCGUGCGCAACGCUGUGCACUUCAGCGCCGUCCUGCUAGCGACGCUCAGCGACCUCAACGUCCACCAUGCCAUCGCCUGCUUUGAAACGUACUUUGCGGCGUCUCCGACCUUCGCGCAAGCGUUGCGUGGGCUGCGCUGGUCGUUGGCAACCGACUACGCCACGCUCAUCACGGCCGUCUUGCCAGCAAACCGCCGACUGGCCGCCACAGUGCUGAGCUCGCUAUGGGGCACCAUCGAGUACGCUGUGCGUGACUCCGCCGCCGAGGAGACGGUGCUGGCCGGUGAAGCCGCCGCUGGCAAUGGGGAAAGUAACUCUGUUGGCGCGGAAGACAUGGCAGAGGUGUGCCUGCUGGUGCUUCUCCGUGCCCUGUUGACCUCCCUACAGCCCAGCAGCGCCGGUGCCUCCUCCCACACCCCGUUGGAAGCGCCCAUAAGCAGUCACGCUCAGAUCGACGCAAGUGGGCGCACAAUGACGAGCACUGUCCGCCGUACAGCCCCGCGCUCUAGCAGGAGCACGGCCAUCACCGCAUCAACCUCGCAGGACGCUGUCUCCAAAGCCCUCGUGCAGCUCGCAGAGAAGCGCAGUGUUGCGGUACUGCAGCAGUCCGCCAUGGGCUGCGCGAGCGCGACUGGCGUGGGUAUCGACGAGGCGUUGGUGGCGGCGGCGACCGAGAAGGAGGCGGCAGCGGUGGCUCUUGCCGUGCAGGUGCUGCGCAUGGAGCUACACCCCUCGCUGAUGGCGGCAUGCGUGGCGGGUGGGCGUUUCUUCGACGUCUACAACGCGCUCUUCCCUUCGUCGGAUAGCGCCGCGACGCCAAUACCACCAAACGCAUCGUCGCCUACACUCUCAGUGCUUCGGGCGCGGUGGCUACGCUGGUGUCUGCAGCGGCGGUUCGAACUCGGCUUGUACUCCCCCUCGCCCGCCACCUCGGCCGUGGCGACCGUGUCCUUGUCGCCCCUCUCCCAGCAGCGCCAACGUGUCUCCCAUGUCGUUGCCUCGUUCGGGGUCCGCGACGGAGGCGGCCAUCGCGCCACCACGACCACGCUCGCCCAGGAGCACGAUUUCUCUGUGGACAGUGCCGAGAUGCGCGCGCUGCUGACAGGUGUGCAGAUACUCUGUCGCGAGCUGUCCUCCUCCACUGAGUCGUUGAAGCCUGCAGAUGCGCAGUCGCGCGUGCUGGUGGCGUGCGCGUUGGCCGAGUCGCUCCCGUUCCUGCCAGCGAAGUACAAAACUGAGAGCACUGGCGUAGACGGCGGUGAUGGGCAGCCAAGUGCGGAGGCAGUCGAGUCGCCUCAUGAUAGAGAUGGCGGCUCGGCCUUCGCCGAGGACGCGGCAGAGGCCGCAUUGAAAGUCUUGAUGCACGAGGCGACGCCAGCGCAGAUGCGCUCCAUCCUCGCCUGCACAUACGAGUUGCGAGCAGGCGCAGCGGUGCAGAAAGGCGAAGAGUUGGAGGACGAGGCGCAGUGGAUGGUGCACCGCUACGUGGGGCCCCUCAAGCCGUCCGGCUUGCUUGUCGUGAAGAGCGAUGCACUGCUGCUUGUCAAGGCGGCUCUCAGUGUGGUAGGCAGCGGUGGUGGUGGUCACACAGGCAACUCCGGCGGCAGCGGCUUAUCCCCAUCGUUCUCUGUGGCGGGGGACAAAGACGUGAAGCUCACGGGUGGCACCGGCGGCGCCCGCCGGCUCGCUGCCCGGGCGGCGGUGAUGGCCAGAGAAGGCCAGGUAGACGAGAAGAUCGCUGAGCGGGUGCGAUGGCUUGCCAGCCUGCUGGUAGAGGGCCGCGCCUGCGUUCGUAGCGGCGCGCCGCCCUUAUUUCCGUGGCGAAGCACCGGUGAUAGUGGCGCAGUCCGUCGCUCUCCCUCGUCCCUCCGCGAGGACACGGCCACCGUGGCUUCGGCAGCGUCAGAGGCAGAGGUGCUACAGUGGCAAGCGGUGCUGUCGCACUGUUACGAAGACCUUGUCCUAGUGAUUCAAGCCGCAAGCUCACGGCUGCGCCAACGUGGAGGGGCUGGUGCCGGUGGAAACCCUAACGCCGCCGAGACGCACUUCUCCGAGGUUGUUGGUAAGGAGCUCCUGAUGCUGGCGCAGAAGGCAGAGGGAGUAGUGUGCAUCCUGUGGCGCGAGCUGGCACCGAUUCUGGCAGUAUCGACGGCGUUAGGAUCGAAGAGCGAGUCGGAGCGGCGCUUCAUCGGCGCCGCAACCCCCUCAGUGGUCGCUAGCUCGGCCUUCAUAGGCAGCUCGCUCUUCUCCUUCCUGGAGGAUGUGUCACACGAGGAGGUGGCGACGGCGGUGAGCUGGAUCUGCGCUGUUGCUGGUGUGUAGUGGCACCUCCCACUUGUCGCGUGCGUCGUGUCUGGCGUGCGUGCUUCUUCGUCCACGUGGCUCGCCCGCACGCCCUCUCUUCGACACGCUUGCAGUCCUACAAUGUCCACUCACCAUGCGCCCUCUUUCUCCUUUUAGUGGCCUGGUUCUCUGCAACUGCUUGGAAUGUACAGGAGGAACGCAUGCUCGCAUGUACACACACGCACCGGGGACGAGAGAGCGAGAGAGCGGGCGCGUGCUGGGCAGCACUAGUCGCGGCCUUCGCACCUCUCGUGAAUCCAGUCGUGUGCGCGCUGCGGGCGCUGUCCACUUUUGCCGCUUGCCUGUGUUCUGCUGCUCAUUGGUUUGCGUGCGCCGCUCACGGAAUCGCAACACACACACACACAAGCUGAUGGCGCUCUCGCUCUUGCUCUCUCCUUCGAAGGCCCUCCUGCCUCUCCACCGCGACGGUGUGUCCCCCACACGGCGGGUGAUGCCGCUGUUGGUGGUGGUGGUGCACAGUCGUAGAGACGGAGGCGGAAAGUCUUUGGGGGUGGAUGUAGGAUCGAUUUCGUGGGCGCUUGAUUGAUGUACAGCGCGGCGUCCCCUCGCUCGCUCCCACGUUUUGUUGGUGCAGACAGCGUACGCGAGGGCGCGAUGUGGACGAAGAACAACAUCAAGGUACUUAACAGAAUAAAAAGACGUUCGAAGGAGGAGGUGACGGGAGGGAGGAAGGGGGCGACGGAGGACGACCCCAGCAACACCGCUGCAUCUCUCCGCGCUCAUCGUCCUCUUUCUCUCUCCCCAACUGUCCCUCCGCUCCCACACCCCAGAGAUGAGACGGGGGAGGGGGGGGGCGACGCUCGCUUGUGCGCCGCUAAACGGGGCAUGUGAAGUCAAGGGAAAAGAUGGCACUCGAUAGGCGCCGGCUGGGCUGUGCUACUUGUUGUUUCUGCGCACCUUUAAUCCCCUCUCUCUCCCCCAUCCUAUCUAUGCGUUCGUUGUCCGCACACCACUGUGGUGUGCACGACACGUCAG
rnacentral:misc_RNA from 1 species